rnacentral:sRNA from 1 species
UGACAAAUAGUCGGCGACUCUCCUUUAA